ACGGAAGGCAGCAGUGGGGAAUAUUGGGCAAUGGGCGAAAGCCUGACCCAGCAACGCCGCGUGAAGGAAGAAGGUUUUCGGAUUGUAAACUUCUUUUAUCAGGGACGAAGAAAGUGACGGUACCUGAUGAAUAAGCCACGGCUAACUACGUGCCAGCAGCCGCGGUAAUACGUAGGUGGCAAGCGUUAUCCGGAUUUACUGGGUGUAAAGGGCGCGUAGGCGGGGAUGCAAGUCAGGUGUGAAAUCUAUGGGCUUAACCCAUAAACUGCAGUUGAAACUGUAUCUCUUGAGUGUCGGAGAGGUAGACGGAAUUCCUAGUGUAGCGGUGAAAUGCGUAGAUAUUAGGAGGAACACCAGUGGCGAAGGCGGUCUACCGGACGAUAACUGACGCUGAGGCGCGAAAGCGUGGGGAGCAAACAGGAUUAGAUACCCUGGUA
rnacentral:rRNA from 1 species